rnacentral:ncRNA from 1 species
CGACCCGGUGGUGCGCGCUGCUCUUUAAAGCACUUGGGGAAAUUACCAACCACACCAAACCCGGCCUGACCGUCCGGGAAUUGGGGGACACUCAUUCGGGUGAUGGGGGCACAAAGGGGUCGGCCGGGUGGGGUACGGUCGCCGCAAUCAACCACAGACAGUGAACGGCCCUCGGCAGGACUGCGAAUCCUGACGAGGGCCUGACCAAGUAGGAAGAAGAGAGCUUCCCC